UACGAAGGGGGGCUAGCGUUGCUCGGAAUUACUGGGCGUAAAGAGCGUGUAGGCGGCCCCGGUAAGUCCGCUGUAAAAGUCAAAGGCUCAAACCUUUGAAUGUCAGUGGAUACUGCCGGGCUAGAGUCCGGAAGAGGCGAGUGGAACUCCUGGUGUAGCGGUGGAAUGCGCAGAUAUCAGGAAGAACACCAAACGGCGAAGGCAGCUCGCUGGGGACGGUACUGACGCUGAGACGCGAAAAGCGUGGGGGAGCGAACAGG
rnacentral:rRNA from 1 species